rnacentral:rRNA from 1 species
AUUGAACGCUGGCGGCAGGCCUAACACAUGCAAGUCGAGCGGAUGAAGGGAGCUUGCUCCUGGAUUCAGCGGCGGACGGGUGAGUAAUGCCUAGGAAUCUGCCUGGUAGUGGGGGAUAACGUCCGGAAACGGGCGCUAAUACCGCAUACGUCCUGAGGGAGAAAGUGGGGGAUCUUCGGACCUCACGCUACCAGAUGAGCCUAGGUCGGAUUAGCUAGUUGGUGGGGUAAAGGCCUACCAAGGCGACGAUCCGUAACUGGUCUGAGAGGAUGAUCAGUCACACUGGGACUGAGACACGGUCCAGACUCCUACGGGAGGCAGCAGUGGGGAAUAUUGGACAAUGGGCGAAAGCCUGAUCCAGCCAUGCCGCGUGUGUGAAGAAGGUCUUCGGAUUGUAAAGCACUUUAAGUUGGGAGGAAGGGCAGUAAGUUAAUACCUUGCUGUUUUGACGUUACCAACAGAAUAAGCACCGGCUAACUUCGUG